GACUCUGUUUAACGGCCGCGGUAUUCUGACCGUGCGAAGGUAGCGUAAUCACUUGUUCUUUAAAUAAGGACUUGUAUGAAUGGCAUCACGAGGGUUACACUGUCUCCCUUUUUCAAUCAGUUAACCUAAUCUUCCCGUGAAGAAGCGGGAAUACACAUAUAAGACGAGAAGACCCCAUGGAGCUUUAAACGAACAGCACUUGCUAGCCACCUUUCUUUUAUUCAGCCAAGCAUACUGACUGCUAGUUUUUGGUUGGGGCGACCACGGAGAAUAAACUACCCUCCAUGCUGGAAGAAAUCUUUUUCUUAACCACAAGCCACGCCUUUAAGUAUUAACAACUUAACAUCCAUUGACCCAAUAAAAUUGAUCAACGAACCUAGUUACCCUGGGGAUAACAGCGCAAUCCAUUUCAAGAGCUCCUAUCGACAAAUGGGUUUACGACCUCGAUGUUGGAUCAGGGUAUCCCAGUGGUGCAGCC
rnacentral:rRNA from 1 species